CAUAAAAAUUUAUAAUAGAAUUUUAUUUUUUAGUCAAAAAGCUAAAAUAUAUUUAAAAGACGAGAAGACCCUAUAAAUCUUUAUAUUUAGAUUAUUAUAAUUUUAUAGAUUUUUUUUAUUAUAAUAAUCAAUGAUAUUUUAUUGGGGUGAUAUUAAAAUUUAAUAAACUUUUAAUUGUUAAAAUCAUUAAUUUAUGAAUAAUUGAUCCGUUAUUAGCGAUUAAAAAAAUAAGUUACUUUAGGGAUAACAG
rnacentral:rRNA from 1 species